rnacentral:rRNA from 1 species
GAUGAACGCUGGCGGCGUGCUUAACACAUGCAAGUCGAACGAAACACCUUAUUUGAUUUUCUUCGGAACUGAAGAUUUGGUGAUUGAGUGGCGGACGGGUGAGUAACGCGUGGGUAACCUGCCCUGUACAGGGGGAUAACAGUCAGAAAUGACUGCUAAUACCGCAUAAGACCACAGCACCGCAUGGUGCAGGGGUAAAAACUCCGGUGGUACAGGAUGGACCCGCGUCUGAUUAGCUGGUUGGUGAGGUAACGGCUCACCAAGGCGACGAUCAGUAGCCGGCUUGAGAGAGUGAACGGCCACAUUGGGACUGAGACACGGCCCAAACUCCUACGGGAGGCAGCAGUGGGGAAUAUUGCACAAUGGGGGAAACCCUGAUGCAGCGACGCCGCGCGAGUGAAGAAGUAUCUCGGUAUGUAAAGCUCUAUCAGCAGGGAAGAAAAUGACGGUACCUGACUAAGAAG